CUCCGGUUUCCAUUACUCAAGCUCCUUGUAACAAUGCAACAAUUGAAUUGAAUAUGAUGAUGAACCUGGACCCAAUUUCACCCAAAUUCAGAUUCUCCAAUUUGCAGCUAAUUUUCCAGAUUUCUUCUUGUAUGAAUGCCUUCGAUGAUAAGAAACAAAAUGGAAUAGCUAGGCUUCAAUGGAACCUGGCUUUGAUACCAUGUUGAAAGGAUUAACCUAACUCUAA
rnacentral:lncRNA from 1 species